GAGAAUCAUAGACACAAGCAAAAUGAGAAUUACUCACAUAGCCAAAAUAGGUAGACAUGCGAAAGAAGGGGGGAAAGAAGGAUGUAAUGAAAAUAUGCAACUAAAGCUACCUAAAUGCAACAACACAUAACAUCACACACAAAACAGAACGACACACUCACAACACAAGACAAAACACAACACACACUAACACAACAAAAGACCUAAAACCGAACCAUUGGUCCCCAGCAACGGCGCCAAAAUUUGAUGGGAUGUCGAAACCCACACAAAUUUGAUGUGUAUAAAAGAAUGCAGUAUAGUGCUAGGAAGUGACUCC
rnacentral:lncRNA from 1 species